rnacentral:rRNA from 1 species
AGUCCCGCAACGAGCGCAACCCCUACCUCUAGUUGCCAGCGCGUCAUGGCGGGGACUCUAGAGGGACUGCCUUCGCAAGAAGCGAGGAAGCGGGGACGACGUCAAGUCAUCAUGGCCCUUACGCCUAGGGCUACACACGUGCUACAAUGGCCGGUACAGAGGGUCGCCACCCAGCGAUGGGGCGCCAAUCUCAAAAAGCCGGUCUCAGUUCGGAUCGGAGUCUGCAACUCGACUCCGUGAAGCCGGAAUCGCUAGUAAUCGCGUAUCAGCAACGACGCGGUGAAUACGUUCCCGGGCCUU